rnacentral:tRNA from 4 species
GCCGGUGUAGUUCAUUGGUAGAACGCGACCUUCCCAAGGUUGAGAGGCGGGUUCGAUUCCCGUCACCGGCUCCC